rfam:Picea glauca, whole genome shotgun sequence.
UCCAUUGUAGUCUAGUUGGUUAGGAUACUCGACUCUCACCCAAGAGACAUGGGUUCAAGUCUCGACAACGAAA